UUUUCUACUUUACUCAUUUCACCUAAGUGGGUGGGGAUAGGGAUAGGUAAAUUCUUCUGCUAUUUGGAUAUUACCAAAUCCAUUUUUAAGGUCCAGAAUUUGCCACCCCUGAAGAUUUUAGAAAAGAUGCCUUAGGAUCUGACAGCCACUCCUAAUGAAGACUUCCAGAAGUAUUUAAAGCAACACACAAGCUCCAGAGAGCCUUUGCCUAAGCCCACCGUCAAAUAAGCACUUAAGUUCUCAUAUGUGUUCAACAACCCAUCAGUGAACAAACACACAGUCUGCAGGUUUAAAGUGAUUGGUGCCCACAGUACAUCCAGAGAAUUUUCCAGAUUUUUGUUUGUUUGUUUUUGUUUUUUGAGACAAAGUCUCACUCUGUUGCCCAGGCUGGAGUGCAGUGAUGCAGUCUUGGCUGACUGCAACCUCCACUUCCCAGGCUCAAGUGAUCCUCAGCUUUCCUAGUAGCUGGAACUACAGGUGUGCACCACCACACCUGGCUAAUUUUUUGUAUUUUUUGUAGAGACGAGGUUUCGCAGUGUUGCCAAGGCUGGUCUCCAACUCCUGAGCUCAAAGUGAUCCUCCCACCUUGGCUUCCCAGAGUGCUGGGAUUACAGGCAUGAGCUGCUGGGAUUAUAGCAGUCUGGCUUCCAGCAAAGCUCUCUCGUCCGGAAAAAUGGAUACUUCUCUGGAAUGCCCUUAUCUAUUAGGAAUCUAAAUAGUUUGAUGUAUUGAUACUGUUUUUUAGUUUGACUGCAUACUUCCUAAAGAUAGGGAAGGCCAGUGCAUGUAUAUUUCUCUCCAUUGCUUACAAGAUUUAGUAUUUAUUACAUAGAAUUAUUGUAGAAUUCAAGUUAAAUAGGAUAUAUAAAGUGCUUAGUGACAUGAGAAGGGCUAAAAUAAAUGUUAGUAUUAUAGCACUCAGCUUAUAGCAGGUUCUCACGAAGAAGUUAUUGAAGUUUAUUUCACCUGAAGAGUCUGAAACACAUUUCUAUCCCUGACAAUUAAUAUAUAUCUUAGGAAAGAAAACAGUGCCAUAUGACAGACUGACAAUCUCAAAUCUUGAUAACUUUUAGACUGUAUAUUCCAUCAUAAACGUGUAACAAAUUAGACAAUGGACCCCCACAUGCUCUGAAUCAUGGAGAUCACUGGCAGAAACAACACCUACAGUGAGAACAUCAUUUCCAUCUGGUCAAAUGUCAUGACUCCACUCAGCCAAUCAAAAGACCUCCCCUACCAAAGCCCUCCAGAGCUUUUUAAUAAUUCAUGAUAAUCCUUAGCUUCUCCUCAGUAGCCCACAGCCAGAGAAGAAUGAUUGAUAAUCCAAAAAUCAUUUAUAAUUGACUCAAAUUUAUUUUCCUAGAUGCCUUCCCUUUCAAUGGAUUUAUCUCCCCAUUGAUUCCUGGCUUAUACAGUGCUGACAUCCCUUUGUUUGCCUUUGUCAGGGCAAGAACCAAGGCAGAACGAGAGAUGAAUCUAGGACACUCUCUACUUUGUGUCUCUCUGAAGUCCUCACCCUAAAAUCAAUGUGAGAAAAGUGAGGGUUCUCAUAAUAAUGCCUCCCAUCCCCACAGGAACAGAAGCAUACCCACAUCCACCGCAGGCCUAGGAACUGGGCUGCUUGAUCCAGCUCAGAUGCUCAAGAGUGGUAAGGGCUUUAUGUGCAGUAAACUGGGCCUGCCGAAACAAUCUGCAGGUGUGUGUAUGCAGGGGAGGAUGUAGGGGCAUGUGGAGUGUGCGUGCGUGCGUGUGUGUGCGUGUGUGUGUGUGUGUGUGUGUGUGGUGUUAGGGGAGCAUAUGGAUGUGUGAUGUGUGGUAUAUUCCUGUGUGUGAUAUAUGUGUGGGGUGUGGGGGUUAUGUCUGCGUGUGUGGGGGCGUGUGAUGUAUGUGGAGUAUUAACGUGUAUGUGUGAAGUGGGGGGUAUAUGUGUGUGAGAUGGAUGUAGGGAAUGUGUGCAGGUAUGUGCUAUAGCAUGAAUGUAGGAAGUGUGGCGAGUGUGGGGGUGCUUGUGGUGUGUGUGGCUGUGUGGCAUUCUGUGGUGUGUGUGUAUUGUAUAUGUGUGAUAUGUGGUGUCUGUGUCUUAUGAUGUACGCAGUGUGUGUGUGUGUGGGAGUAAGUGUGUGUGUGUGUGUGUGUGUGUAUGGGAGUAUGUGUGUGUGUGGGAGUGUAUGUGUGUGUUGUGUGUGUGUAUGGGAGUAUGUGUGUGUGUGUGGGAGUGUGUGUAUGUUGUGUGUGUAUGGGAGUAUGUGUGUGUGUGUGUGUUGUGUGUGUGUGUGGGAGUGUGUGUAUGUUGUGUGUGUAUGGGAGUGUGUGUGUGGGAGUGUAUGUGUGUGUUGUGUGUGUGUAUGGGAGUAUGUGUGUGUGUGUGGGAGUGUGUGUAUGUUGUGUGUGUAUGGGAGUAUGUGUGUGUGUGUUGUGUGUGUGUGUGUGGGAGUGUGUGUAUGUUGUGUGUGUAUGGGAGUAUGUGUGUGUGUGUUGUGUGUGCGUGUAUGGGAGUAUGUGUGUGUGUUGUGUGUGUAUGAGAGUGUGUGUGUGUUGUGUGUGUAUGAGAGUGUGUGUGUGUUGUGUGUGUGUAUGGGAGUGUGUGUGUGUGUUGUGUGUGUGUAUAUGGGAGUAUGUGUAUGUGUUGUGUGUGUGUAUGGGAGUGUGUGUGUGUUGUGUGUGUGUAUGGGAGUAUGCGUGUGUGUGUGUUGUGUGUGUAUAUGGGAGUGUGUGUGUGUGUGUUGUGUGUGUAUGGGAGUAUGUGUGUGUGUUGUGUGUGUGUGUAUAUGGGAGUAUGUGUGUGUGUGUGUUGUGUGUGUGUAUGGGAGUAUGUGUGUGUGUUGUGUGUGUGAUAUAUGUGGGCUGUGUCUGUAUGUGUGCAUGUAUAUGUGGGGGUGUCUCUGUGUGUGUGGUGUGUGGUGUGUGUGUGUAUGUAGGGGGUAUGCUAUACAAUGUGUGGUAUGUGGUAUAUUGUAUGUCUGUGUGUGUGUGUAUGUCUGUGUGUGUAUGAUGUAUGUGGGGGUGUGGUAUAUAGUGUGUGGUAUGUGUGUCUAUAUGUAUAUGUGUGAUGUGUACAUCUCUGUAUGUUAUGAUGUUAUGUAGGGGUCAUAUGUGGUAUAUAGUGUGUAGUGUGUGGUGUGUUUGUGUGUGGUGUGCAUAUAUCUGUGUGUAUAUGUAUGAUGUAUGUGGAGGGGUGGUAUGUAAUGUGUGGUGUGUCUGUGUGUGCAUAUGUGUGUGAUGUGUAUAUGUGUGUGUAUGAUGUAUGGGGGCAUGUGCAGUAUGUGUUAUGUGGUGUGUCUGUAUGUGUGUGAUAUAUAUGUCUGUGUGUGUUUAUGAUGUAUGUGAGGGUCAUGUGUGGUGUGAGGUAUGUCUGUGGUAUGUAUAUGUCUGUAUGCGUAUGAUGUAUGUGGGAGGGUAUGUGGUAUGUGGUGUGUGGUGUGUCUGAGUGUGAUAUAUGGUGUGUGGUGUGUAUGUGUGUAUAUGUGUUUGGUGUGCAUAUGUCUGUGUGUGUAUCAUUUAUGUGGGGGAUAUGUGGUAUGUGGUGUGUCUGUGUAUGUAUGUGUGUGUGUAUGAUGUGUGUGGGAGGUGUGUGUGGUGCACCUAUGUGUGAUGUGUCUGUGUGUAUAUGUAUGUGGUAUGCAUAUGUCUGUGUGUGUGUACAAUGUAUGUGGGGUGUGGUAGUGGUGUAUGGUGUGUCUGUGUGUGACGUGUCUGUGUCUGUAUACGUGUUUGGUGUGCAUAUGUCUGUGUGCAUGUACAAUGUAUGUGGGGGUGUAUGGUAUGUGGUGUGUCUGUGUGUAUGUGUGUGGUGUGCAUAUGUCUGUGUGUGUGUGCACGAUGUACAUGGGGGGGUGGAAUGUGGUGUGUGGUGUGUCUCUGUGUGUGUGUAUGAGAGAGAGGUGCUCCUUAGAGGUCUUCACUGCCUCUACACUGACCCUUGCAGAUGAGAUGCGCAGCCCAGACACACAAUGCACAGUUGCCUCGGGCAGUGAGAAGUGGGAAAACAGCUGAGAGCUAUAGAAAUUCAGAGACUAGAAAUGUCCCAGAUUUCCAGUAAUAAAAUGGGUAAUAUGGGAUGGCUUGCUUGAGGGACACCAAAUCUUGAAGAAUGGGUAAGUUUGGGAUGGGCAGAGAGGAUGUGGGCGGAGAAGGUGAGUGGGAGAACAAAGUACAGGAACUGAGAAAGAACAGUGAAAGUGUAUUUUAGCUGAAGGAUCAAAGAUGAACUUGGGGAGCAAAGAAAUCCACUGCUUCAUCACCUUGUUUCUCCCGGAAAGCAAAUAGGAGAAAGACCUUUAUAACUGCAUCCGUAUAAUUCUAUCCACAAACUUUUUCCACGGAAUGUGAUCUUUUAGGAGCACAUAUGAAAGAAGAAACAAGACCCAGGCCACCAGCCACUGAACAAGACUCUCUUUGUUCCAGCCCCAGUUGCCUCCCUGACCUCCCAAGCAGGGCAGAGUUUCCCGAAACACUUAAGACGUCAGCCCGUCAGUACAUGAGCACCGUGUGUUCAGACAGGCUUGUUCAAAAUCACUUGGCAGGCCUGGCGGGAUGGCUGGGAAGCCUGUACCAUUCAGAUGACC